GAGAGAGAGAGAGAGAGAGAGAGAGAAUGAAAAAUACUUCCCUUUAUAUUAAAAUCUUUUUUUUUUUCUUUGAAUCGUUAAUAUCAUGGGCUUUCAAACAUCCGCGUCUAACAGUUAUACUGUAAAUUUCGCAAUAAAAUAUUGAAAUUACGAUAAACCGACGAGUCUGUUUCGUUAAUGCAAACUGCGAGCGAGCAUGCGAUAUGCAUCAUUAUUUCGAAGAGAUUUGGCGAAGCUUGAAAUGCUCGUAUCUUCAUCGAAUCUGUCUAGCACUAAAUACGGCUGAUCAUAGAUUUCCUUUCACAUCGUGUGUAAUAUACUGUCGCAGCAAGACCUACAGUAAUAUAUUUCAAGUUCCGUGCGUCUUUCGUCUUUCUAGUCUCAAUGAGGCAAAGAUAAACGAGUGACUGUGCGUACUGUCGCAACAAGACUUAGAAAAUUAUAGAAUCAAGUAAAUCCGAACGUGCAAUGUAUCGGCGAAUAUACCGAAAGCAACCUUAAAUCGUUUUAUUCGCGAUCGCCUUUCUAUUCUCGCGAUUAAGCGCUGAUAAACGAACUAUUAUUGUUGCUUUUAAGAGUAGCUGGACUACGAAUAGUCCCGAUCCGCAUCGCGAAUGUAUAUAUGUAACUGACGAGAAAACGCGAACUGGUGAAUUUAUUUGACUCUUGCGUAAUCGAUAAGGGAAAUUUUUAUGUAUGUUGUAUGUAUCUGUUACGAAAGCAAUAAGAUUGAUUUUUUUUACUGCAACAACAUUACAAUACCGAAUAUCAAAACCGUAGUCCACGUCGAAUUUUAUUUUAAUUGGGAUGUUGCAAACGCGAGACUGUGCACGUCGAUGUAUUUCUUAUUCUUAACACUUCUCCUCUCUUCAAAUGUUCUUAUUUCACAUAUGAAAAAUGAGAAUAUCGUUUUGACAUGUACAUACAAUAGCAUUUUUAUUCUAUAUAUACGUGCGUCGUUAAUUGACGAAUCAAGAUAUUAAAAAAAUACGAGUGCUUAGUUGUAAUUUCGUCAUAAGAUUGGCAUACGUGGUAUAAUUAAAGUUUAGAACCGGACUCCACGUUUUUGAUAUUCGUUGUUGGCACGUGGCGCUUUAAAAGAUCAAUCUUAUCGGUUUUACGACCUCUUGUACGUAUCAAAAGUAGAACGGUUGGGAUACACACUUUCUGCUCCUCUCAAUUCACGUGCACAUUAACAUUAAAGUAACAUUAAAGAUGAUUUUUCAUUCUACCGUCAGCAUGCUAUAUAGGUAUUAUUCUAAUUCUUUUGCUAGUGCUAAGCCCGUGGAUAAGACCGAUUAACGUCCAACUUAUAAACAUAAAAAGAUAGAUUCAGUAUUAUAUGUAUUUGCGCAACAUGCACACAGCCAAUAUUGAUUGAAUCUAUCUUUUUAUAUCUAUAUUUGUAAUCCAAAAAUAGAUGCUCGUAAAUCGCAAGACAGCGUGAUAUUUGUUAGCGAACGUGAAAGUCAAUAAUCAGCAACGCAUACGUAAUGAAUGCUUAUUUUCUUAUUACAAUUCAUCAUUUCACAGUGCGAAAUUUGCCCAAUCUAAAGAACAUUUUGGUUAAUUGAAUGUAAAUAUAGACAUAACACAUGUUGUAUGUAAUUAUUAAUGUAAUUGUUCCAUUAUUAUUACAUUAUCGUUAUUGUAUAGUUCUGAUUUUUGGCUUCUUUUUAUAAAUAUAAGAUAUAAGAAAAUCAA